UUAAUGGAACUCCCUUACACGCAGCGGCUAAAGGUGGAUUCAUCAACAUAGUUAAAUUGUUAUUAGAAAGAGAAGAUACAGACCCAAAUAAAGAAAACAUGUAUAGUGGUGAUACUCCUUUACACUCAGCUGUAAAUGGUGGACAUCCCGACAUAGUGCAAUUGUUAUUAGAAAGAGCAGAUAUAGAUCCAAAUAAAGAAAAUGUGGCUGGUGACACUAUUUUACACUCAGCUGCUAGAGGUGGACACCUCAACAUACUUCAGUUGUUAUCAGAAAGAACAACAAUCGAUCCAAAUAGAGAAAAUAAGGUAUUGAAUGAGGUUCUUUUCAGGAUUGUCCGACUUUGUUAAAUUGUCCAUCAAAAUCAAAAUCAACACAAUGUUGCUUAUCAAAUCAAUACACAUCUAUGCAAAAUACUAGAUAUCAGAGGGGUAAAAGCAAUUAUAUUCAGACAACUACAACAACAAAAAAAUACUAAGACAAACGUCAUUCAUGAAGUCAGGUAUAUACAGCCACUACGUAUUUGAUUAAAGUCUAAAGUUGGUAACCCUGCAUAACUGAAGAUGUAAUACUGUUGCAAAAAAAAAAAAAAAAAAAAAAAAAAAAAAAUGAACACAACAAAUUAAAUUAUACGAAACUGAACAUAUGAUACAGAUUAAAAAAACAAGUCCUAUCAUAUAUUAGCAAAUGCUUUUUGAAUAAAAAAAAACCAAACAAACAAACACAAAAACUCGUUAAUUUCGUUUUCUUUUGUAGUCUGUAGAACAGCAUAUAUUAAUUAGCUGUUUCUUAUAAUUGCACGA